AGCAGAGAGCCGCAGCCCGGCUUAACAUGUGCAGUGCAUUCUUACUGCGUCUUCCUGUGGUAUCACAGAGCUUAUGGAUGUGGAAUCCUUCAAACUCAGCUCCUGGAGCUGUAGAAAUAGCACAUGGAUUGAGACCAGAUGCCGUGCUCUCCAGAGAGCUGGUUUGGUAACAGGUUUCUGCUGUGUGAACAUUCAAUUCCCUGAUCCAGGAGCAUGGACCUCAGAGUGAACAGGCUAAAAAGGGAUGCUGUGGACACUUUCUCCAUCAUUCACCUCUCCUUCUAAAGCUCUAGCACUGAGCGGUCCCAGUUCUAAAGAGCAGUCCUGUGUACCCCCAUUUAUGGUUUUUUAAUGUUCAAUUAAUAUUACGGAA